rnacentral:rRNA from 1 species
CAAUAGCGUAUAUUAAAGUUGUUGCGGUUAAAAAGCUCGUAGUUGGAUUUCUGCUGAGAACGACCGGUCCGCCCUUUGGGUGUGUAUCUGGCUCUUUCUUGGCAUCUUCUUGGUGAACGUUGCUGCACUUGACUGUGUGGAGCGCUACCCAGGACUUUUACUUUGAGGAAAUUAGAGUGUUUCAAGCAGGCAUACGCCUUGAAUACAUUAGCAUGGAAUAAUAAGAUAGGACCUCGGUUCUAUUUUGUUGGUUUCUAGAGCUGAGGUAAUGAUUAAUAGGGAUAGUUGGGGGCAUUCGUAUUUAACUGUCAGAGGUGAAAUUCUUGGAUUUGUUAAAGACGGACUUCUGCGAAAGCAUUUGCCAAGGAUGUUUUCAUUGA